rnacentral:lncRNA from 1 species
AACCAUUUAAAUUCUCAUAAUUAAUUAACACAACCAAACACAAAUACAGCAAAAGGACUCCUACUGAUAAAAGAAAUCCCCCCAUACCCUCCUAAAACCUUUCAUUAUUCUCAACAUCAGAAGUAACCAUCUUUGCCUUAAUUAUCCUAAACAUAAAACAUAAAGCUCACCGCCAUACAUGAAAACACACAACAAUAAGCUUAUAACUCAAUGUCAAGGACUCGAGGUAAUACAAGUACAGCAUACGCAGAUUCUAAAAGAGCCAUAUGGCAUAUCAUUCACCCAGGCCAAUAUAUUUAGAGUAAUUUUUCCUGUAGAAGUAAAAAUUACAAAGUAGACAAUAGCAUGAAUUGAUUCGAAAAACCCACCAGAUUUUCAAUUAUAAUAAAACAAGUCUUACAAGUACCACAAUCCAUUCAGAUUAAUACUACUAGAAAUACUGAACCCUAAAGUCGGUUUAGCAGAACUACAAAAUCAACACCAGAACCAUGUAGAAGCAAGUCGCACACGAACCAGAAACCUUCCCCUUCAGUGCGUCCACCCAUUCAUCAGAUCUGCCAGGCAAGUAAUGCCAGAAGCAAUGAUGAAUGAAGUAGAUUCACGGACAGAAGCCAUCUAAUUGUCCACUUAAACCGUCUACUUGGAUCUCUGCCUCAUCUUUCGGCGCUUCCUCUUCAACCUCCUCAUACGCUUCUUUUUCCACUGUAAACAACAAAAAGUGAUUACUUGCGAAUUCUAAAACAGAUACAGAACCAAAUUCAUAUAUUAGAAGAAUGUUUUCCUCAUGGCCAGUCCCAAGAGGUAAUUGCUGAUACUCAGCACUCCCCAAGGCGACAGGAUAUGACGACGCCCCUUUCUUUGACAAACAGGAACCUUCCACCCAAAGGGGGAAAGGCUCGACUGCUGUAGUUCAAAGUAGGGCUUGAUAUUUGACAAUUUAUCAUUGGGUUUUACAAAGAUUGACUACUUUGCCCCAAUUUCAUAGUAAAUUGUCACUAUCACAUGCAUAAUAUACAUAAUAUAGGUGAAUUAUUUUAUUCUGGCCAAUCAAAUGACAAAAAACGCAACCCUAGUAUCCUACUUUAUUAUGUGUAAUUAAUAGUUGUCCAUUUUUUCUAAAUUUCUACUUGGUUUACAAAAAAAGAAGGAAAACAUAACCCAAAAAUGGAGCUGUUAAUGUCUUGGCAAAUAUUGACCAUAUUAAUGAACAGUAAUCCACAAAAUUUCUAAUCUCUCAUGUUCAUAAUGAGGAUCAACUAUACAUAAAAAAAUAUUUUUGUCAUAAUGCCACAUAGGCACCUAGCCGAGCACUAACAUGAAAAGCAUAUUUCAAGUAAAAACCCUAGAAACACACCUAUUAAUUACAUAUAACACAUGAAAUAUAUUGUACUUUAACUGGCGAACUGCACAUUUCAAAUAUUCAUCAAAAUACUAGGCAUACAAAAAAAUGCAGAGCUGGUUCAUUGAUCAAAUACUAAUUUUUAAUUAGAAAAUAAGACUCCUGCUCCCUCAUAUUCAGAUUUUAUAUUUUUACGUGAUUUUCUGUCUCAUCUAUAAGUGGUUAUUUCUAAAUUUCUAAUGUGGUGAAACUUCUAGGAGUCUUUUCUAAUUAAAAAUUAGUAUUUGAUAAUUGAACCAGCUCUGCUUUUUUUUGUACCGAAUUAACAGUAAUCGAUCUAAGUCUUUAGAGUUACAGAAAAAACAGUAUCCAUGCUUCAUUAACAGAAAUUCAUACAAUAUAUCCAAAUAUUUUCAUAUACUAAUCGAUCCAAGUCUUUAGAUUUACAAAUGGUAAUGACCCAAUAUUUCCUACUAUAUCAUACACAAAAUUGUCCUUCACAUCAAAAUUCAAAUGAUUCACAUCAUACAUAUACAUACAAUCAUCAAACAGAUCGUCUUGUAUAGUAAAAACAAAAUCAAAAUGAAAAAUAAGAAUAAAACAAAAUAUUUAGCAGAUCAUGCUACUAACAAAUUCUUAAACAUGAAGUAAGCGAUCACAAAGGAAUUUCAACAAAUAAUCGAAAAGAAAUUAUACCUUAGCACGCAUCUUCGCUCAACUUUCUCUCGAUUUCCCUCUCUCUGUGUAUUCUACAGGUAGCCGAAUUUUCUAAAAGGGGAGCAAAUUGUGUUUGUGAGGCUCUUCUUUUGCUAUUUAUAUGACUUACAAAACCCUAAAUCUCGUGGGCUUUCAUGGGCUGGGCUGAUAAAGUGAAGAAGUCCAAUUCGUUAGAAU